GCAUAUCAAUUAGCGGAGGAAAAGAAACCAACCGGGAUUGCCUCAGUAACGGCGAGUGAAGCGGCAAAAGCUCAAAUUUGAAAUCUGGUAYMUWCGGUGCCCGAGUUGUAAUUUGUAGAGGGCGACUUUGGGGCGGCUCCUUGUCUAUGUUCCUUGGAACAGGACGUCAUAGAGGGUGAGAAUCCCGUGUGGCGAGGAGUGGCGGUUCCGURUAAAGCGCUCUCGAAGAGUCGAGUGUUUUGGG
rnacentral:rRNA from 1 species